rnacentral:lncRNA from 1 species
CCUACUUACAUACUUUACUACAAUUGAUAAAAAGAGGGUUUAAUUUGUGUGUUUAGUUAUUAUACGCAUCAAGCCUUCCGUAGCUGCCUUGAUUUAUGCAUGAUGGAACUAAUUUACUUUAGAAUAGAUAAUUUUUUUUGUCUUCUUACUAUUGUUGCAAGGUUUUUUCAGUGUUGCAACCUCUUUGCAAAAAUGCAUUAUAUGUGUUUUGCUUGUUUUAGUUCAUUUUUCUAUUGUUUGUUGUUGUCGUGGUCACCCUGUGAAUAGAAUUCUCAAUUAUCUAUUCCUGCAGACUACAUGAUACAUCUAUUUUUUUGUUCAUUCACAAAUGAUACCACAUGCUUGAAACUUUUAUGUCAUUACUUUGUUGGUUAUUUUGUGUGUUCUUUCCGAUUACUUUGCUUUUGGUUAUCGGUGUUUGCAUCAUGGCUUUUUGUUAGUGAAAAGUCAACUAAAUUUGAUGGUUCAUAAUCUUAUAAAGUAGGGGUGGGCAAGGGCCCGGCUGGGCCCAAAAUUUAAGGAACCGGACUGAACCCGUUUGUAAAUAACACGGGGCGGGUUUUGGAUUUUUCAAAAUGAGAUCCAGACUUAAUCCUGCCCUUUUGAAAUGGGCCGGUUCCUAUGGGUAUCCAUGGGUCCUACAGUAGCGAGGGUAAACAAAGAAGAACAAAGAGGUUGCUCAUGG